ensembl:snRNA U7 U7 small nuclear RNA
AAAUGUGCUCUUUUAGUAUUUGUCCUGUAUGUUUCCUCAAUGAGAAAGCACCC